GGCAGUGGCCGAGUUGUUAGAGCGUCCGCCUCAGAUGUGGGAGGUCAUGGGUUCUAUCCCCGGUCGAGUCA